rnacentral:rRNA from 1 species
UACAGAGGUCCCGAGCGUUGUUCGGAUUCACUGGGCGUAAAGGGUGCGUAGGUGGCCUGGUAAGUUUGAUGUGAAAGCCCGCAGCUUAACUGCGGAAUGGCAUUGAAUACUAUCAGGCUUGAGGGUUGGAGGGGAGACUGGAAUUCUCGGUGUAGCAGUGAAAUGCGUAGAUAUCGAGAGGAACACCGGUGGCGAAGGCGAGUCUCUGGACAACCCCUGACACUGAGGCACGAAAGCUAGGAGAGCAAACAGG